rnacentral:misc_RNA from 1 species
AGAGGAGGUUGGGGUCUGGCGUCGUAAGUACCAUCUAAAGAAAAUGCAAUUUUAACUGAUUCAGAAUUUAUUCAAAUGUGAAAUUUUAUUGGUUGCAAGCUGAAAAGAUUGUAGAAAAUUUAUCAGUUCUCUUAUAGCUCUAUCGUUUUCAUACGAGUCAUGCACAUGAAAUUAAAAUUCAAAUGCUGAUGGAUGAUUGAGCUAUAUUUAUGUUCCUAUGCAUCUGUCAACUUCUGGUUUCCCACUACUUUAAAUGAAAUAUUGGAAUCAUUGAGUUCUUGUUCAUUAAAAAUUUUGUGCCCAAAAAAAUCUAAAUGUAAGUAUGAGAAUAUGGUGAAAACCUUUCAGCAAAAUGAAUCCAAUAACAAUGAAAUCAAGGUCUCUUACUGAUAUCAGAAGUGUGACUUGAGCUCAACUGAACGUAUUUAUCACAUAUUUUUCUUCUGUUGAAUUUCAGGCUUAUGU